AUUGAACGCUGGCGGAAUGCUUUACACAUGCAAGUCGAACGGCAGCACGGACUUCGGUCUGGUGGCGAGUGGCGAACGGGUGAGUAAUGUAUCGGAACGUGCCCAGUCGUGGGGGAUAACGUAGUGAAAAUUACGCUAAUACCGCAUACGAUCUAUGGAUGAAAGCGGGGGAUCGCAAGACCUCGCGCGAUUGGAGCGGCCGAUAUCAGAUUAGGUAGUUGGUAGGGUAAAGGCCUACCAAGCCAACGAUCUGUAGCUGGUCUGAGAGGACGACCAGCCACACUGGAACUGAGGCACGGUCCAGACUCCUACGGGAGGCAGCAGUGGGGAAUUUUGGGCAAUGGGCGAAAGCCUGAUCCAGCCAUUCCGCGUGCAGGAUGAAGGCCCUCGGGUUGUAAACUGCUUUUGUACAGAACGAAAAGGUUUCUACUAAUACUAGGAGCUCAUGACGGUACUGUAAGAAUAAGCACCGGCUAACUACGUGCCAGCCGCCGCGGUAA
rnacentral:rRNA from 1 species